AUCCCUCCCUGGCAGUUGAGAUACCAUGAUCAUGAAGGUGGUUCACCCAGGGUGAGGCCCAGCCAUUGCACUGUGGCUGUGCUGACCCCUGCGAAUUCCCCAAAUGUAGGAAUCUCGACUGCGUAAUUUCUGGUACUGGGGGACUGUGUUCGCGCUCUCCCCUG